AUGCUCCAGUUCCCUUUCCCGUCGGAUAAAACACUGGUCCGGGUGGUCGUAAAAGGAGGAAGAGAAACAUCGAAGCUGCCCCUCGGUGUUCUUGGCGCUCCGGCUAGUUUCAAAAAGGG
rnacentral:snoRNA from 1 species